rnacentral:rRNA from 1 species
AUUGAACGCUGGCGGAAUGCUUUACACAUGCAAGUCGAACGGUAGAGGGGGCAACCCCUUGAGAGUGGCGAACGGGUGAGUAAUAUAUCGGAACGUGCCCAGUCGUGGGGAUAACGUAGCGAAAGUUACGCUAAUACCGCAUACGAUCUAAGGAUGAAAGCGGGGGAUCGCAAGACCUCGCGCGAUUGGAGCGGCCGAUAUCAGAUUAGGUAGUUGGUGAGGUAAAGGCUCACCAAGCCAACGAUCUGUAGCUGGUCUGAGAGGACGACCAGCCACACUGGGACUGAGACACGGCCCAGACUCCUACGGGGA